GCUCACUCUGGCAGCAUAUAACAAAAUUGGAAUAAUACAGAGAAGAUUAGCAUGGCCCCUGCACAAAGAUGACAUGCAAAUUCAUGAAGCAUUCCAUAUUUUU